CAAUAUGCGAACGCGCCUAUAUUACCAACUAGGUCCAGUGCGGCGCACCCUCAACCGUCUGCUUCACGCUGGUAACAUUUUGCUAACUGGGACUCGGCGCAGUAGGAACGAUGUGAAAGUCGAAGGCAUAGUGGAUAUUAAAAGAACCAAAACAAAGCAGAAAAGUGAUUUGUGGUUGAUAAGUUUAAUCUUUAGUUCAAAGUUAGUUUCUGUAACUAAAUCCUUUGAAAAAUUCUUUAAAAGUGAUUAGUUUAAGUGCGUGCAGCGGAUAACUAAGUUAGUUGUUUCGUGUCGCCAAAUCACCGUUGCUGUUUAAAAUCAGAGAUUAGCCAAGCUAUCCUGAUUCUAAUCAAGGAACAGAUACUUACAGCCCGAACUACCGUACGAUACCGCUUACCGGAGAGAACGAAGAUACGAAGACACUAAACGAAAAAUUUAACAAACUUUGCAAAUAAACCGUAGAAAAUUACUCUGGCGAGUUUGUUUAAACUUUUGGAACACGGCCUACCGUAUUGUUGCCGUUAGCGGUAACA